rnacentral:rRNA from 1 species
AUGGGUAGUACAAGAGUAGAUCAUGAAAAGAAUGCUUUAUGUGAUAGUUAUAUUGUUGAAUUCAUUCAUGAUGCUACUGAACAUUAUUGUGAUGGAGGAAUAUAUGCUUGUAGGAGUUGCAAUAAUAUCAAGUUUCCUCUCUAUGUGUUGAAAAUCUUGAAGUUAUCCUUGUUUUACCUUCCUAUGCAAGUUGAUUCUUGUUCCCACAAGUUGUUUGCUCACAAAAUCCCUAUGCAUAGGAAGUGGGUUAGACUUAAAUGUGCUAGUCAUAUUCUUCAUGAUGCUCUCUUUAUGUUUCAAUUCGUAUCCUUUAUGUGA